rnacentral:rRNA from 1 species
UACGUCGGGUGCGAGCGUUAAUCGGAAUUACUGGGCGUAAAGUGUGCGCAGGCGGCCGCGCAAGUCGAGUGUGAAAGCCCCGAGCUUAACUUGGGAAUUGCGCUCGAAACUACGUGGCUGGAGUGUGGCAGAGGAAGGUGGAAUUCCACGUGUAGCGGUGAAAUGCGUAGAGAUGUGGAGGAACACCAAUGGCGAAGGCAGCCUUCUGGGCCAACACUGACGCUCAUGCACGAAAGCGUGGGGAGCAAACAGG